rnacentral:rRNA from 1 species
AAUGAACGCUGGCGGCAGGCCUAACACAUGCAAGUCGAGCGGAUGAGGAAAGCUUGCUUUUCGAUUCAGCGGCGGACGGGUGAGUAAUGCCUAGGAAUCUGCCUGUUAGUGGGGGAUAACUCGGGGAAACUCGGGCUAAUACCGCAUACGUCCUACGGGAGAAAGUGGGGGAUCUUCGGACCUCACGCUAACAGAUGAGCCUAGGUCGGAUUAGCUAGGAGGUGAGGUAAUGGCUCACCUAGGCGACGAUCCGUAACUGGUCUGAGAGGAUGAUCAGUCACACUGGAACUGAGACACGGUCCAGACUCCUACGGGAGGCAGCAGUGGGGAAUAUUGGACAAUGGGCGAAAGCCUGAUCCAGCCAUGCCGCGUGUGUGAAGAAGGUCUUCGGAUUGUAAAGCACUUUAAGUUGGGAGGAAGGGUAUUCACCUAAUACGUGGGUACUUUGACGUUACCAACAGAAUAAGCACCGGCUAACUCUGUGCCAGCCGCCGCUGUAACAC